CAGGACUCUGUCACCUGCGCAGUCCGCGCCAAGAUUGGCUGCACCACUCACCCGUGAAGCAUCACUGAGAGGGAAAGAAGAACAAGGAUUAGCAAGAGGCUAAGGAGGCUGCAAGACCUUCUGCCCAACAUGGACAAGGUAACUAAAUCAGUUGAACUGAUGCACGCUGUCAAUUCUGUCACCACAUAG
rnacentral:rRNA from 1 species